UGACAUUAGUCAAGUGGUAGGGGAGCGUUCUGUAAGCCGAUGAAGGUGUAUUGAGAAGUAUGCUGGAGGUAUCAGAAGUGCGAAUGCUGACGUGAGUAACGACAAAACGGGUGAAAAACCCGUUCGCCGAAAGACCAAGGGUUCCAGUCCAACGUUAAUCGGGGCUGGGUGAGUCGACCCCUAAGGCGAGGCCGAAAGGCGUAGUCGAUGGGAAAAUGGUUAAUAUUCCAUUACUUCUGUGUAAUGCGAUGAGAGGACGGAGAAGGCUAAAUCAGCCUGGCGUUGGUUGUCCAGGUGAAAGGAUGUAGGCAUGUAUCUUAGGCAAAUCCGGGGUACUCUAUGCUGAGAUCUGAUAGCAAGCUGUACUUGUACAGCGAAGUGGUUGAUGCCAUGCUUCCAGGAAAAGUCUCUAAGCUUCAGUUACACAGGAAUCGUACCCGAAACCGACACAGGUGGUCAGGUCGAGUAGACCAAGGCGCUUGAGAGAACUCUGCUGAAGGAACUAGGCAAAAUGGUACCGUAACUUCGGGAGAAGGUACGCUGUUGUUGGUGAUGGAACUCGCUUCCUGAGCUGACGACAGCCGCAGAAACCAGGCCGCUGCAACUGUUUAUUAAAAACAUAGCACUCUGCAAACACGAAAGUGGACGUAUAGGGUGUGAUGCCUGCCCGGUGCUGGAAGGUUAAUUGAUGGGGUUAGCGUAAGCGAAGCUCUUGAUCGAAGCCCCAGUAAACGGCGGCCGUAACUAUAACGGUCCUAAGGUAGCGAAAUUCCUUGUCGGGUAAGUUCCGACCUGCACGAAUGGCAUAAUGAUGGCGGCGCUGUCUCCAGCAGAGGCUCAGUGAAAUCGAAAUCGCUGUGAAGAUGCAGUGUACCCGCGGCUAGACGGAAAGACCCCGUGAACCUUUACUGCAGCUUGACACUGAACUUUGACCUUACUUGUGUAGGAUAGGUGGGAGGCUUUGAAGCUGGAACGCUAGUUCCAGUGGAGCCGUCCUUGAAAUACCACCCUGGUAAUGUUGAGGUUCUAACUCUGUCCCGUGAUCCGGGACGAGGACCGUGUCUGGUGGGUAGUUUGACUGGGGCGGUCUCCUCCUAAAGAGUAACGGAGGAGUACGAAGGUGCGCUCAGCGUGGUCGGAAAUCACGCGUAGAGUAUAAAGGCAAAAGCGCGCUUAACUGCGAGACCCACAAGUCGAGCAGGUACGAAAGUAGGUCUUAGUGAUCCGGUGGUUCUGUAUGGAAGGGCCAUCGCUCAACGGAUAAAAGGUACUCUGGGGAUAACAGGCUGAUACCGCCCAAGAGUUCAUAUCGACGGCGGUGUUUGGCACCUCGAUGUCGGCUCAUCUCAUCCUGGGGCUGAAGCAGGUCCCAAGGGUAUGGCUGUUCGCCAUUUAAAGAGGUACGCGAGCUGGGUUUAGAACGUCGUGAGACAGUUCGGUCCCUAUCUACCGUGGGCGCUGGAAAUUUGAGAGGAUCUGCUCCUAGUACGAGAGGACCAGAGUGGACGAACCUCUGGUGUACCGGUUGUGACGCCAGUCGCAUCGCCGGGUAGCUAUGUUCGGAAGGGAUAACCGCUGAAAGCAUCUAAGCGGGAAGCCUACCUCAAGAUAAGAUUUCCCUAGGACUUUAUGUCCUCUAAAGAGCCGUUCGAGACUAGGACGUUGAUAGGUUGGAUGUGGAAGCAUAGUGAUAUGUGAAGCUGACCAAUACUAAUUGCUCGUGAGGCUUGACUAU
rnacentral:rRNA from 1 species